rnacentral:rRNA from 1 species
GGAAUCUUCCACAAUGGGCGCAAGCCUGAUGGAGCAACACCGCGUGAGUGAAGAAGGGUUUCGGCUCGUAAAGCUCUGUUGUUAAAGAAGAACACGUAUGAGAGUAACUGUUCAUACGUUGACGGUAUUUAACCAGAAAGUCACGGCUAACUACGUGCAG